rnacentral:rRNA from 1 species
UGCCAGCAGCCGCGGUAAUACGAAGGUGGCAAGCGUUGUUCGGAUUUACUGGGCAUAAAGGGCGAGUAGGCGGUCUGGCAAGCGGCGUGUGAAAUCCCGGGGCUCAACCCCGGAACUGCACACCGAACUGCCAGGCUAGAGGACGAGAGGGGGGUGUGGAACUCUAGGUGUAGCGGUGAAAUGCGUAGAUAUCUAGAGGAACGCCGGUGGCGAGAGCGACACCCUGGCUCGUCCCUGACGCUGAGGCGCGAAAGUGUGGGGAGCAAACAGGAUUAGAUA